UCCACUCACCAGCAUCCAAAUGUAGUCUGACAACUAUUGGAACACACCCACCAACAUGUAAAAAGGCAUAAAGUUGACAAAAUAAGAGUCCAGCUAUUCAAAAUUAUUUUAUUUUUUUGGCCAAAGAUCAGAGAGCUUACACUCUUUUCCUGAUUCUUUAAAGAACAGCAGAGUUUUAAUAAAAGUCAGAAUUUAUCCUCCAUAUCACCUCUUCUAUAUCGUCAAAUGAGAUUUGGGUGAAAGUCACAGUUUGAUUGACUUUUUGUGGUCAACACAGAAACACUGAGGUGCAAUUUCUGUUGGCAGCCCCCAAUUAUGGAAUAAUAUUCCUCCAGAACUGUGCUUGAUGGACUCAGUUUGUGUCAACUAAAAACCUUUUUGGAUUAGAUUUAACAUUUAGUAGUUGGUGGCAUUUUAUUUUCUUCCACUCGUUUUGUUUUAGCUUUUUAUCUGCCUUUCGUGUAUUUUAUGUCCUUGUAAAUUUAUGCUGUUUUUUCUCAUUCCUUUUCUUCAUCUGAUCAAAUUUGAGUUGUUGUCUUAGUAUCUAUUCUUAACGUAAAUCACUAAACGGUGAUGUCAAGCGUGUCAAUAGAGAUUAUUCAGGUUGUGAAACUCAAUCAGCACCAGAGAAGCAGGAAAAGUCUCUUUCUUGACAUCUGGAAACUUAUUAUUGAUUUGGAUUUUUGUUCAAUUAAAUCCAACAUAUCUGAGGAUGUUUAGUAUAUUUAUGAUUUUAUGUUUCAUUUUUUAAAUGCUGAUUUUGGUUAACAUUAACCCUGGAAAACCCAAGAGCAUUUUCCUUCUGAGCUCUUAAAGUUAAUUUGAUAUUUUUGUAGUUGUUCAUUCCUACACCAGCAAAUAAAUAAAUAAAAUAACAACUACGGCGGGUUCUCCAGGGUUAAAUCCUUCUGUUUUUACUGAUUUCUGACCAGCGGUGUUCAGGAUUUUCAAGUUUUCUUGUAAUUUAAUACAUUUCUUAACCAAUUUCUCGUUACCGCUGUAUUUAGUAUUUUUUAUGACCUUUUAACUCAAAGUUUAUAAUCUAUGAAUUGGGAGUUUUUAGCAUUUCGUUUGGAAAUCUUUUUAAGAGCUAACCGGCAUCAACCUGCAAACAGAGACGGUGACCCGGGGCGACCUCAGCCUGAAACCCCGACAGAGUCGCUGCAGAUCAAAGAUGUCGACAGAAAACUGUUGGAAGUGAAGCAAAGUCAGACGGAGAGGAUGGGCUGAACUCUGCCCGACGACGCCGUGACGACUGCAGCCAGAGCCAAACGGCAAACAUUCAGUACGCCGCAGACAAACAGCUCCCAUUCGCGUCGUCUAAAUAGGCCUCGCAGCUUAGGCGGGUAAACAGGAUUCACCGAGGAGCUUAAGUCUUUAAGAUGCUGCCGUGCUUUUCUUAGCUUCCUGACGCAGCUCUCUGCGCUCAAACUGCUCCCCGGGUCGCCUGCUUUUCAUUACAUUACAAUAAUCACCUGCCGGAAUAAAAACUCCAUCGCUGAACGCAGGACGGCCUUAUAUGAAGCUACUGUCCACUCUGCACCGCCGCUGCCGCUGGAACUCUCCUGUACUUUACCGUCCCGGUCACAUGCACCCAAACGGGGUUUGGAGGUGAACCAAACGGGUUUGUGGGUCGUCCGGGUCCGUGGAGGGUCGUGGAGAGGAGCGGCCGUAUGUUAAGGGCUCGUACGACCACCUCAAGAGACGCCAUGAAAGUGGAGCGUACCAUUGUCGUCCAUGUGGGACAGGAAGUAUCCGUAAAGAUAAAGGAAGUUAAAUGCUUACUGUAGUCAUCACUGCGGUAUGACAACUGGCCAAUUACUGACCGUCCACAGCGUGUGGAUCUGGGGUGUCAAACUCUAGGCCUUUAAAAAAAGAAAACCUGCCUCAUCUGCUGCUGAUUACCUGGAUCAGGUGUGUUUCGCCAAUUAGGAGCUUUAAUGGCAGGUUGGUUGGAAAGCAUGUAGGACCCGCAUGGCCUGGAUUUGGGGCCCCCUGCUCUUGAUAAUUUCCCUAUUUCAAUCUGGCUGCACGUAAUCAACACAUGAACAGCACUAACAGGCCGUCUGCAGGAUUAAAGAAAGGGUCAAAAGAAAGAGAAGAAAACUCUACGACACGCCAGCAUCUCCCCUUACGUCAUGUUUAGGUGUUCAGCCUGUCGCCUGCAGAAAAAAACAUUUCCUCUCUACUGAGCAGCCUACAACCCUGAUCUUUCGUACAGGUUUGAUCGUUCUCUACCUGCAAACAGCCCGUAUCCACCUGCAACUCAUUAAUAUGUCACGGUGCGCACAAAGAGGUUUUUAUAAAGAACUGCACAGAAAAGCUCCAGCAGAAGUCAAUGCUGGACAUUCAUCUCCUGCAGCAGUGGAAUAAGAAAAGGUGGAUCAGAAAAGUCGGUCAUUGUGAAGGAGAAUUCAAACGUGUCUGUGCGUGAUGGGACUUGUUGAAGGGUCGUGUGACUAAUGAAUGAUGGAUGUUUUUCCUGUGUCUUUAUCAGAGACAGUUCUGUUCCUGGACCGUUUAUGCUUCAUAUUAACCAAAUCAUCUGAAAAUGACAAGAAGUUUCAAAAGCUGCUGCUAUCCGACAUACCGUUACCGUGGUGAUGCAUCGGCUUUAAACAUGAAAUUAAUUUCAGAUUAUUUCUGUGACGCGUCUUUCUACUUCUUAGAUUAGAUUUCAGUACUUUCAUAAAAGCAUCAAACGGAGAAGAAAAGGUUGGUUUUGUCUCUUCCCGUUUACAUUUUGAUUUGUAAACUUUAAAAAACGGAAGCCUUGGUCCAGAACGUAUGAACUUUUGUUCUUUAGUUUCAUCUCAACUUCAGCUUCACUGUUUUUUUAUCCUGUUUCAACAAAAACCAAGAAUCCUGUUCUGGUUGUGCUUUACCUUCUGCUGCUUUAAAGGUAAUUCAAUUUUGACAUUUUCGAGUCUUUAACCUUCAUGAAAAGCUGGAUUUGAUGUUCCUGUAAAUGUAUUUCCCUUUUUUUUUUCCUGAGAAACCGGGAGAGCCUCUGGAUUUCUGCAUUUAAAGUGUUUCCGUUGGAAGCAGAAGCUGGACUCAGCUUGAAAAGUCGGUUUCUGAAGAAAACAUUGCUGACGGAUUGAAAUGUUUCCAAUGAAGUGUUCACGGGACAGAUGUAGUCAGAAUGUGAGGAGCAGCAUUCGUGUCAAACACGAAAACCCUGAGAGCGGACCCCCCCACCGACUGGAAAACAUCUGUUUCUGAGAAAAACAAAGUUUUGUGGCUCCGUUGCCUCCAGAUACUUUCAUCCAAGUGGAGAAGCAGCAGCACAGCAGAGUCAUACAGUUUGCAAAAUCUGCAUAAUCACCGAAAUUAAAAAACAGACUUUGUUCACAAAUGAGGAACAAAUGAGAACCUUAACGCUGCAGCAGGCAGACGGCGUUCUGAAAAUAACACGCCGGCCCAGAUAUGUCAGAUAAGGCUGACGGGAGGAGAAGAAGCAUUGGCGGGAAAACAAAGCCAGCAUUCAUCAAGUCGGAUUACACAAAGAAACAUCAACCUAUGAGAGGAAGACGAGCAGUUUAAAGCUGUUUUUCUCCUCUUCAUCAAAGCCUCCUGCUUCAUCCAGAAGCUAAAACGGAUGAAGAUUAUAGAAUCAAAGACAGAAGAGGCUCCAACUGUCCGUCUUUGGGGUUUUCAACCUCACAACGAGACUGAUUAGCCUCUGAUGUAGUGGCGUGCUGCUGCCAUCUACAGGAGGAAGAGGAGCAGUGCAGGGGCCGACGAAGAACGGAGGAACACCAAUGAUCUGAGCAAUGAUCCAAGUUUCACUGAUAAAUUCAGAUUUUUGCAUUUUCUAUGCUGAACUGAACAGGAAAUUCUGAGCUUUUAUUUUUUAAUCUGCAAAAUGAAAAAAAAAAUAAACAGUUGUGACUGACAAGCUUCUACAUAUCAGUCUGCAGUUUAGGUUUUUUUAAUCUUUUUCUACUCUUCACCUCUUUUCUGCUUUAGGAUUAAAUGAAUUCACAUAAUUAAAAUUAACAAGUAUUUAGAGUGAGGAAAUCAGUUUUCACCGCUGCUGUCCUAUGGAGGACUGAUGAUGCCAAAAUUUAAAUAAACUGUAAUCAGAGAUUCAAGAAAUGACCAAUUUAUAAACAAUUGUCUACUAUUUCUUAUUUUUCUCAAUUGCAUUUUUUCAUCCUGGUUUCUUAAAUUUAAUAGUUUUUUCCCACAAAUGUUUGCUGUUUACAUUCAGUAGAAGUAGGGAUGCACGAUAUGAGGAAAACUCGCGAUCUGUGAUGUCAGUGAUCAAUAUUGCGAUGAUGAUAUAACUUGCGAUACAAUGAACAAAUACCAAAACAACCAAAGACAUCGAUUCCAUUUCACUAAAACCGUUUUGUUUAAAUAAGAGUCAACAUAACAUAAAAACACUCCAAAUGAUCCUCGUCUACAUAAGAGGCCAACAUCUAACAGAAAAGCCUCCAUCUGAUUGGUCAAAUGCAUAAAGGGAUUUAUUUGAUUUGUUAAAUACUUUAAACUGCCUUCAGACUGUUUUGGAACAUUUAAGGUAACAAUCUAUCGCAGCCUGAUAUUGAUAAAUUUGCGAUUUAUGGUGCAGGCCUACUUUGAAGCAUUUUUAGACAUUUUUUUUUCGUCAUUUCCUUUAAUUUGAUGUUUCAGUUUUUCCAACUGUCAAUCACGUUUCUUUAUCAUCUUUUCAGUAAGCCGUCGGUCCUAUGGCCAUCCCAUAAUAAUCGUCUGUGUUUUGGUUAUUGUUACUUGAUUUAAAAGCAUUUUUUAGAGCCCAUGAGAGAUUUUAGCCAUAUUCAUUUUUUAAGGGCUUCUCCUGUUGUUGUCGUCAUUUUCUUAUUUUGUCUUUUCCCCCAAAACAAAAAAAA